UACGUAGGGUGCGAGCGUUAAUCGGAAUUACUGGGCGUAAAGCGUGCGCAGGCGGUUCGUUAAGUCAGCUGUGAAAGCCCCGGGCUUAACCUGGGAAUGGCGGUUGAAACUGGCGAACUUGAAUCUGGCAGAGGGGGGUGGAAUUCCACGUGUAGCAGUGAAAUGCGUAGAGAUGUGGAGGAACACCGAUGGCGAAGGCAGCCCCCUGGGCUGAGAUUGACGCUCAGGCACGAAAGCGUGGGGAGCAAACAGG
rnacentral:rRNA from 1 species